rnacentral:lncRNA from 1 species
CCGACUCUCUCCUCUGCACCCACUUUCUGCAGGUAUCGGCGCAAGGCUCUCCAGUGGCACCCAGACAAAAACCCAGAUAAUAAAGAAUUUGCUGAGAAGAAAUUUAAGGAGGUGGCCCAGAGUCUGGUAGGAGUGGCUGGCAUGAGACCUGAAAGGGGAAGGAAGCAGGGCAGGUAACUCAUGUGAGCUGAGCCUCCUGCAUGCCAGGCAUUGGUGGGUGUCAUCUCCAUGAGUUCUCACAGCCGUCCUAUGAGGCAGGUUCUAUCACCCCUAUUUUACAGGCAAGGAAACUGAGGCUGAGAGAGGUGAAGUAACUUGCUCAAGGCCACGCAGAGCUGGAAUAUGAAUCCAGGUCUGCCUUUUUAUUGAUUCAUUCAAAAAGUAAUUCAGUGAAUGGUGACAGUGUCCGGCACUCGCUGGGUGCUGGGGAAACUGGAGGACAAGCAGGCACUGUCUUUGCCCAGAGGGGCAGGGAAGACCAACACCUACCAGGCACACACACAGACACAGUUACAGCUUGUGAAGAGUAUU